CCAGAUUAUCGCGUCUGUUUCUGGGAGACUCGUUCACGUAUUGUUGUUUCUUGGCUUUUUCUACCUUCUGAUCCAAGCCUGUUUUUUUUUUUUUUGACUGUGAUUUUUGCCUGAUGAUUUUGGAUACCUUUGCUCUGUUGCCAGCCCUGUUUCAGUUCAACCAUUAUCUUGAGUGUCUGCGAUCACAGCAGAAGGAUCGGGGCUUCGUCAUGAGGAGAGCCGGAAACAUUUUGCUGUCCAUCCUGAGCUAAACAGUUGGAUAACACUCAGCAACUUAAGUUUCUUUGCCUUUGCAGUUUGUAUCAAACAACAUUUACAGUAAAGUUGGUGAAGCCCGCAACAUUUUUUUUUUACACCGGCCCAACACUGUAGCCCAUUCAGAAGUAGAUAGACGUAUGAGACCAAAAAUCUGGCACGCUCCCGGUGCAGGACAGUGUGGAAUAUGAGAGGAGGCUGCACGGGGAAAAGGGAGCUACUGGUGGAGGAAAUUUGGCAAAGUCGUGGUCUGGGCUUGAUGCUGCUGCCUGUGCUCUGGAGCUAAAUUGGCUGGUGUGAAAGGAAGGACGGCCAAAUCCCCUAACCCAGAACAAAUAUGUCCAGCUAACUGGCUUCGCUGCCUACCACUAGUUUCAUUUCAAUGAAGUGGGCACAGCAAAGGACUUUUUAAAGCUUUAGAAAUGUAACUUUUUUUUUAUUGAAGCUGAUGCAUGUUAUAAAGUCUGGAUCUGUGUUUUAAAAAGAAAAGUUCAGACUUAACAGAUGGAACCACUGACAGAAGAGGAACAUCUGCUUUUAAAGUGUUUAAUCGCCUCAAAAUUUUGUAUCUUUUGCCUCUGCUGUUUAUUUAGGGAGGUUGUAUUUACAAUGUGACUUCACCUCUCAAGUUCAAAUUACAGCAUGUCAUACAUACUUUUUUUUUUUUCUUUGAAGAUAUGCACUGUCUGUGAGCAGAUGGAACAGCUGAUUGGCAGAACCAUGAAGCAGAUUUAAAGAUGUGCUGCUGACUUUUAUAACACCGUUUUGGUUUUGCACCAUUCGGGCUCAUCAGUACUUCUUGAGGUGUAGCAACACAUUUUUUCAUGUCAUAUGUGAUACAUUUUAUUUAAAAAGAUGUAAAUUCAGUUAAUUUCUUUAAAUGUCACUCACACCA